rnacentral:misc_RNA from 1 species
GAUGAAGAACGUAGUGAAAUGCGAUAAGUAGUGUGAAUUGCAGAAUUCAGUGAAUCAUCGAAUCUUUGAACGCACAUUGCGGCCAUAGGUAUUCCUUUGGCCAUGCCUGUUCGAGCGUCAUUUACACCCUCAAGCCUAGCUUGGUGUUGGGCGUCUGUCCCGCCGUUCUCGCGCGCGGACUCGCCUCAAAGUCAUUGGCGGCGGUCGUGCCGGCCCCCUCGCGCAGCACAUUUGCGCUUCUCGGAGGCCCGGCGGAUCCGCGCUCCAGCAAGACCUUUCACGACUUGACCUCGGAUCAGGUAGGGAUACCCGCUGAACUUAAGCAUAUCAAUAAGCGGAGGA